rnacentral:rRNA from 1 species
GAAAUAAGAGGUAGGAUUUGCUCAAUGAAAAAUUAAAUAGCCGUAGUAUUUUGACUAUGCUAAGGUAGCAUAAUAAUUUGCUUUAUAAUAGGAAGCUAGAAUGAAAGAGUUGACGACACUUAAGCUUUCUUGGAACAAAAAAUCGAAAUUAAUAUUUUCAUAAAAAAGUGAAAAUUUUUAAAAAGACGAUAAGACCCUAUAAAACUUCUACCUAACUAUUCGUAAAAAUUUAUGGAGAUUUUGGGUUAAGCUGGGGCGGUAUUUAAAAUUCACUAAAAAAAAAAACAUUUCUAAAUGAAAUUAAAGAUCUUUCUUAGAUUUAGAAUAAGUUACUUUAGGGAUAACAGCAUAAUUUUUUUUUAUAGACCUUAUAGAUAAAAAAGACUUAUGACCUCGAUGUUGAAUUGAGAAUUUCUUUUUUAGCAGAAAAAAAUAAGAUGAGUCUGUUCGACUUCUAAGUUCUCAC